rnacentral:rRNA from 1 species
GAUGAACGCUGGCGGCGUGCCUAAUACAUGCAAGUCGAGCGAACGGACGAGAAGCUUGCUUCUCUGAUGUUAGCGGCGGACGGGUGAGUAACACGUGGAUAACCUACCUAUAAGACUGGGAUAACUUCGGGAAACCGUAGCUAAUACCGGAUAAUAUUUUGAACCGCAUGGUUCAAAAGUGAAAGACGGUCUUGCUGUCACUUAUAGAUGGAUCCGCGCUGCAUUAGCUAGUUGGUAAGGUAACGGCUUACCAAGGCAACGAUGCAUAGCCGACCUGAGAGGGUGAUCGGCCACACUGGAACUGAGGCACGGUCCAGACUCCUACGGGAGGCAGCAGUAGGGAAUCUUCCGCAAUGGGCGAAAGCCUGACGGAGCAACGCCGCGUGAGUGAUGAAGGUCUCCGGAUCGUAAAACUCUGUUAUUAGGGAAGAACAUAUGUGUAAGUAACUGUGCACAUCUUGACGGUACCUAAUCAGAAAGCCACGGCUAACUACGUGCCAGCAGCCGCGGUAAUACGUAGGUGGCAAGCGUUAUCCGGAAUUAUUGGGCGUAAAGCGCGCGUAGGCGGUUUUUUAAGUCUGAUGUGAAAGCCCACGGCUCAACCGUGGAGGGUCAUUGGAAACUGGAAAACUUGAGUGCAGAAGAGGAAAGUGGAAUUCCAUGUGUAGCGGUGAAAUGCGCAGAGAUAUGGAGGAACACCAGUGGCGAAGGCGACUUUCUGGUCUGUAACUGACGCUGAUGUGCGAAAGCGUGGGGAUCAAACAGGAUUAGAUACCCUGGUAGUCCACGCCGUAAACGAUGAGUGCUAAGUGUUAGGGGGUUUCCGCCCCUUAGUGCUGCAGCUAACGCAUUAAGCACUCCGCCUGGGGAGUACGACCGCAAGGUUGAAACUCAAAGGAAUUGACGGGGACCCGCACAAGCGGUGGAGCAUGUGGUUUAAUUCGAAGCAACGCGAAGAACCUUACCAAAUCUUGACAUCCUUUGACAACUCUAGAGAUAGAGCCUUCCCCUUCGGGGGACAAAGUGACAGGUGGUGCAUGGUUGUCGUCAGCUCGUGUCGUGAGAUGUUGGGUUAAGUCCCGCAACGAGUGCAACCCUUAAGCUUAGUUGCCAUCAUUAAGUUGGGCACUCUAAGUUGACUGCCGGUGACAAACCGGAGGAAGGUGGGGAUGACGUCAAAUCAUCAUGCCCCUUAUGAUUUGGGCUACACACGUGCUACAAUGGACAAUACAAAGGGCAGCGAAACCGCGAGGUCAAGCAAAUCCCAUAAAGUUGUUCUCAGUUCGGAUUGUAGUCUGCAACUCGACUACAUGAAGCUGGAAUCGCUAGUAAUCGUAGAUCAGCAUGCUACGGUGAAUACGUUCCCGGGUCU